AUUCAUUUAACAAAUACUUUGGAGUGUUUACCAUGUGCCAAGUGCUGUUCUAAUAGACAUAAGCUGUGAGGUUAUGCUUAUCUGAUUCUCACAGCAACAGCUUUCGAGAUAUUAAUUGGUAUACUCAUUUGACAGAUGAGGAAAUUGAAUUCAUGUAGUGAGAAAGGAAGAGCUGGAAUUCAGGGUUACUGGUUUCUCCUGCACUAAGCACUGAGCCACACUAGAAGAGAAGGCAUGAGGAAGACAAAAGUGAGAAGGCACUCAGGAAAUAUUAGUUGCAUGAACGAAGGCUGCAUUUUCAUUAGAACAACAUGCAGUUCAACCCCUUCAUGUUUCAAUGAGGGUUCAGAUACCCAGAGGGCUAUGCUAUCAUCCUGGAGCCCACUCUGCUAACAAUUAGCAGAACGGAAGCCUUAAUUUCCAGAAUCUAGUGAACUUGAUGAGUCAAGACUAUUGCAAUUGGAAAUCUGUUCUCCUCUGCUGCUGCAUUCCCUGCUUAAUACUCAAGCCAGAAACCAGGAAGGCUGUGGCUUGCCUUUUCACUUCUUGUGUCCUGUUUAAGAAAUAUCUACUAUCCCAAGCAUCUGGCAUCUUUCUUGACACAUGUAGCAGUUGCUUUUUGACAGCUUGCUUCUUCAGUGAAUGAAUAAAUUAAUAAAGAGAAAUGUGAUGUUCAGUGAUCCAUUUUGCAGAUUGCAAACUCCUAGAGAAGGGCUCAACAGUGAGUGCUGAGGCUGCACAGAGGAGGAAGGCAGCACAAUGAUGGAAGGCUUCCUAAAGAGGCUCUUGAGUUUCUGCUUUCAAGUGACCCUCAGAAAUUCCCCCAUUCACUGCAGAGGUUCUGUUUCUCCUUGCUUUGUUCUGACUUUACGGCAGAACUAAGCUGAUGAGUUAGUUACUAUGGGUUAUCACUUGGAUUUGAAGAACCAUCAUUUCUAGGCAUUGCUGCUCAGAGUGGGUCUGCCCUCAGGGGAAGCUGUCUAACCAGAGCCUAACCCACUAGGGUUUUAUCAGAACCUAACUGACCUGAGGAAAAGAAAUAUUCAACUCCAGCAAGCUCCAGCCUUCCAAAUGGAGGAGAAGAAAACCCAACUCCAGCCCACUUCAGCUAUCUUGUCCCACAUAAAGGGGAAGUGGAAGAAACCUGAGAAGCAGGCAUGAAGUUCACAGUCCAGAGGUACAGACACAUCAGAGUUCAGUAUCUGAUGAAUUAGAUGCAAAAACCUCAACAAAGUAUUAGCAAA
rnacentral:lncRNA from 1 species